rnacentral:rRNA from 2 species
CUUGGGAAAUCUGGUGCGCCGCAGGCGCACAGGCGGUAGGAAUUAGGCAGUAGGAUUUAGGUUCUAUUGGCUACUGGCUAUUGCCUGCGUCGCAAGACGCUCCAGGUUUCCAAGCAUUGUUAAUAAGGUAUCUGCACCUGAAUAAAAUAGGGUGUAAGAAGCGAACGCAGGGAACUGAAACAUCUAAGUACCUGCAGGAAAGGACAUCAACCGAGACUCCGCAAGUAGUGGCGAGCGAACGCGGACCAGGCCAGUGGCAAUGUGGAAUAAAGUGGAACGCUCUGGAAAGUGCGGCCGUAGUGGGUGACAGCCCCGUACGCGUAGAACACACAUUGUCCUUGAGUAAGGCGGGACACGUGAAAUCCUGUCUGAACAUGGGGAGACCACUCUCCAAGCCUAAGUACUCGUGCAUGACCGAUAGCGAACAAGUACCGUGAGGGAAAGGUGAAAAGCACCCCGACAAGGGGAGUGAAAUAGAACCUGAAACCGGUUGCCUACAAACAGUCGGAGGGGGAGACCCUGACGGCGUACCUUUUGUAUAAUGGGUCAACGACUUAGUGUAACUAGCAAGCUUAAGCCGGUAGGUGUAGGCGCAGCGAAAGCGAGUCUGAACAGGGCGAUUGAGUUAGUUGCAUUAGACCCGAAACCGAGUGAUCUAGCCAUGAGCAGGUUGAAGGUUGGGUAACACCAACUGGAGGACCGAACCCGCAUCUGUUGCAAUAGAUUGGGAUGACUUGUGGCUAGGGGUGAAAGGCCAAUCAAACUCGGAAAUAGCUGGUUCUCCGCGAAAACUAUUUAGGUAGUGCGUCGACCGAAUACCCUCGGGGGUAGAGCACUGGAUGGGCUAUGGGGACUCACCGUCUUACUGAUCCUAACCAAACUCCGAAUACCGAGGAGUACUAGUCGGCAGACACACGGCGGGUGCUAACGUCCGUCGUGAAGAGGGCAACAACCCUGACCUCCAGCUAAGGUCCCCAAGUCAUGGCUAAGUGGGAAAGGAUGUGAGGAUCCCAAAACAACCAGGAUGUUGGCUUAGAAGCAGCCAUCAUUUAAAGAAAGCGUAACAGCUCACUGGUCUAAAUAAGGGUCUUUGCGCCGAAAAUGUAACGGGGCUAAAGCCAUGCACCGAAGCUGAGGAUACGUCGCAAGACGUGUGGUAGCGGAGCGUUCCGUAAGCCUGUGAAGGGGUACCUGUGAGGGGCCCUGGAGGUAUCGGAAGUGCGAAUGUUGACAUGAGUAACGAUAAAGAGGGUGAGAGACCCUCUCGCCGAAAGACCAAGGGUUCCUGCUUAAAGUUAAUCUGAGCAGGGUUAGCCGGCCCCUAAGGCGAGGCGGAAACGCGUAGUCGAUGGGAACCACGUUAAUAUUCGUGGGCCUGGUGGUAGUGACGGAUCGCACAAAUUGUUCAGACUUAUUGGAUUGUCUGGGCAGUGGAGCGGUUCCAGGAAAUAGCUCCACCCUAUAGACCGUACCCGAAACCGACACAGGUGGUCAGGUAGAGUAUACCAAGGCGCUUGAGAGAACUAUGCUGAAGGAACUCGGCAAAUUGCACGCGUAACUUCGGAAGAAGCGUGACCCCAUUUUACGCAAGUAAGGUGGGGUGGCACAGACCAGGGGGUAGCGACUGUUUAUCAAAAACACAGGGCUCUGCGAAGUCGCAAGACGACGUAUAGGGUCUGACGCCUGCCCGGUGCUGGAAGGUUAAGAGGAGAGGUGCAAGCUUUGAAUCGAAGCCCCAGUAAACGGCGGCCGUAACUAUAACGGUCCUAAGGUAGCGAAAUUCCUUGUCGGGUAAGUUCCGACCUGCACGAAUGGCGUAACGACUUCCCCGCUGUCUCCAGCAUAGACUCAGUGAAAUUGAAUUCCCCGUGAAGAUGCGGGGUUCCUGCGGUCAGACGGAAAGACCCCGUGCACCUUUACUAUAGCUUUACACUGGCAUUCGUGUCGGCAUGUGUAGGAUAGGUGGUAGGCUUUGAAGCGGGGACGCCAGUUCUCGUGGAGCCAUCCUUGAAAUACCACCCUUAUCGUCAUGGAUGUCUAACCGCGGUCCGUCAUCCGGAUCCGGGACAGUGUAUGGUGGGUAGUUUGACUGGGGCGGUCGCCUCCGAAAGAGUAACGGAGGCGCGCGAUGGUGGGCUCAGACCGGUCGGAAAUCGGUCGUCGAGUGCAAUGGCAUAAGCCCGCCUGACUGCGAGACUGACAAGUCGAGCAGAGACGAAAGUCGGUCAUAGUGAUCCGGUGGUCCCGCGUGGAAGGGCCAUCGCUCAACGGAUAAAAGGUACGCCGGGGAUAACAGGCUGAUGACCCCCAAGAGUCCAUAUCGACGGGGUUGUUUGGCACCUCGAUGUCGGCUCAUCGCAUCCUGGGGCUGGAGCAGGUCCCAAG